rnacentral:rRNA from 2 species
GACGAACGCUGGCGGCGUGCCUAAUACAUGCAAGUCGAACGAACUCUGGUAAUGAUUGGUGCUUGCAUCAUGAAUUACAUUUGAGUGAGUGGCGAACUGGUGAGUAACACGUGGGAAACCUGCCCAGAAGCGGGGGAUAACACCUGGAAACAGAUGCUAAUACCGCAUAACAACUUGGACCGCAUGGUCCGAGUUUGAAAGAUGGCUUCGGCUAUCACUUUUGGAUGGUCCCGCGGCGUAUUAGCUAGAUGGUGAGGUAACGGCUCACCAUGGCAAUGAUACGUAGCCGACCUGAGAGGGUAAUCGGCCACAUUGGGACUGAGACACGGCCCAAACUCCUACGGGAGGCAGCAGUAGGGAAUCUUCCACAAUGGACGAAAGUCUGAUGGAGCAACGCCGCGUGAGUGAAGAAGGGUUUCGGCUCGUAAAACUCUGUUGUUAAAGAAGAACAUAUCUGAGAGUAACUGUUCAGGUAUUGACGGUAUUUAACCAGAUAGCCACGGCUAACUACGUG